rnacentral:misc_RNA from 1 species
AGGGCUUGAACGCAUUUUGACAGGCCGGGAAACCGGUCCUCCUUCGGGCAAUCUGCGAGGUGCUGCAUGGUUGUCGUCAGCUCGUGCCGUGAGGUGUCAGGUUAAGUCCUAUAACGAGCGCAACCCCUGCCGUUAGUUGCCAGCGAGUGAAGUCGGGAACUCUAACGGGACUGCCGGUGCAAACCGCGAGGAAGGUGGGGAUGAC